AUGCAUAUGAAACAAAUCCAUCGGGCAAAUAUGAAAUGGAGAAAUUGCCAUCAGUCGUUCACCAUGACGACGCGCUUACCCCAGACACACUAUGUGGAGAACAAUUUUAAUUUUUUUUUUUAAAUCUUUCUACUUAGGAUCUCUCUUUAAAGGUUUUAAAAAUUCGUAUUUCACAACGAUUUCUAGUUAAUCGUGCCCAGGCUGAAGCUGGCAGACACAAACCAGCAGUCAAUCAGUCCGAAGAAAAGAGAUCCAUCAAAGUACUGAGAGUACUCUGACGAUAGUCUACCGGUGACGAUGAAAGAGCUACGAUUUUUAGGUUUGCUUUUACUUCUGAUGAACACUUGCUUUGCAGACGACGAUGAAAACGACGGAUGCGAACUUAUUUUUGGUCCAGAUAUUGGAGAAAUAUUGCCACGUGGUCAGGUACAGUUCAUCGACCCCUGCGUAUUUUGUGAAUGUCCUGUAGACGCACUUCCGGGGGCGCAUGCGUCGUGCGACAGGCUACGGUGUGAGCAACUUCCUAGGAAUUGUACGAAACCCGUAUUGUUGAAGGGAGACUGUUGUUAUACAUGUGAAUCAAGCCAAUAGUCUACAAUACACAAACCUCAACGAGUUUUUAAUGUUUCUGAUAUUAUAGAAUCAUACAGUAGUUAACAAUUAAGAUAUUGUAUAGCUCUUUUUGGUGUUUUUUCUCUCAUUCCAAUUCACCUUAUUCCUUUCUUAUAGUAUAUAAAAGAUAAAUGAAUGAUGUUUAUCAACUUUGAAAUGAUUGCAUGUUCGUCAAACGUUGCAGUUGGAGUCAACUUAUUAUAGCCGACUGAAUUGUCCAGAAAGCAAAAAUUCAGGGGACGGAAUUUGAAGAUUAUAAUUGUUUUAAACUUGGAAAUAAAUGCAUAAAACUGUUA